GUGGGGAAUUUUGGACAAUGGGCGCAAGCCUGAUCCAGCAAUGCCGCGUGAGUGAAGAAGGCCUUCGGGUUGUAAAGCUCUUUUACCAGGAAAGAAACCAAGGCUGUUAACACCAGUCUAGAUGACGGUACCUGGAGAAUAAGCACCGGCUAACUUCGUGCCAGCAGCCGCGGUAAUACGAAGGGUGCAAGCGUUGUUCGGAAUGACUGGGCGUAAAGGGCGCGUAGGCGGAUUGUUAAGUUAGAUGUGAAAUCCCCAGGCUUAACCUGGGAACUGCAUUUAAUACUGACAGUCUAGAGUUCGGUAGAGGGAAAUGGAAUUCCUAGUGUAGAGGUGAAAUUCGUAGAUAUUAGGAGGAACAUCAGUGGCGAAGGCGAUUUUCUGGGCCGAUACUGACGCUGAGGCGCGAAAGCGUGGGGAGCAAACAGGAUUAGAUACCCGGGUAGUCC
rnacentral:rRNA from 1 species